AUGUGUGCGUGCGCGCGCGUGUGUUCCUUCUUUCCACUCCUGAUCUCCUCCAUCCACCCCCGCGGCCCCGAGCCAUCUCAGGAAAAUGCCAGACUCUGCCUCCCCUGUACAACUCUGGGGGCGCGCCCACGGACCUCCUUUCCGUCCACGCACCUGCCCGCAGGACAUCCAACCAUUUUGUGGAGCGCAAAACUGAGACCUGGAAGCUCUUCCCCCAUCCCAGGGACUGAGGACUUGAGAAGAACGCGAUCACGAUACCCUUGCCCCACCUUACCGAAUUGAGAAUAAUUCCGCCUGCAGUGACUGAUGGAGCAGGAACAAGGCACUGCGGAUCCAGCGAGGGCCAGAUACUCCUUACCGGUCCCAGGCCCCUGGAAAACUGUGAUUGAAGCCUGUCCUUUCAGGAAAAUGCGCCCACAGGAUUCCGGGGGUUUGAUCUCACUUCUCACCGGCCGCCUGAACCCAAGUACGGGUUACAAACUACAGAGCUGGGCUGAAGUGUUCCUUACAAGCCCCUGGAGCCCCGUAGAUGGGAUUCUGAGGGUUCUGCUGGGUUCCCCUCUUGUUUGCUGAGAGUUCUGGGGCCCAAGGACAGCAAGGGAGUCACGACUCGGUUGGGGGCCUUUUCCCCCCUGGGAGAAGCCUCAGUAUUUAAGUCCUAUGCAAGUGCGGCACGGAAGUGGAUUCUCAGCUGUCACUCAGGAGAGCGUCUUUCGAGGAUGAAGAGACCUGAGUUGUGCCAAGGGCGUCGAAACACUUGGCUGAUCUAACCUCCCCGGUGGCAAAGCCGGAGUCUGCCUCUGGGUGCCGGGCUUUGCGGGGAGGGGUUGUUAAGCGGUGGGCACAUCGGAGCAGCCAGGGUGCACGUUCUGGACUCUGCCCGGCUUUGAAGUCAGUACCUCUUGCUAGCCUUGUGACCUCGGGCAAAUUACUGGACAUCUCUGGGCCUGUUUUCUUAUUGGGAAAAAAAAAAAAAAUAGGGUCGUCGUUCAGACCUGCCUCGUUGGGCUGCCGGAAGUGGGGGGCGUUUACGCAGGUUCAGUGCCUGGUUCAGAAGGGUUGAAAAGGUGCUCAGAGCAUUCGUGCUGCCUUGUGCCCUCUAAGUGGGAGAGCCGGUGACUGAGACCCAGAAGGACCUCUGCUGCCCUGAAGGAUACACAGCCGUGGGGCGCCUGGGUGGCUCAGCCGGUUAAGCAUCCAGCUCUUGAUUUCAGCUCAGGUCAUGGCCUCACAGUUUGUGGGGUCAAGCCCCAUGUCAGGCUCUAUGCUGAGUGUGGAGUCUGCUUGGGAUUCUCUCUCUUGCCCUCCCUCCCUCUCUCAAAAUAAAUAAACUUUGCCACAUAAGAUUCACAGCCGCAACUGAAGCCGACAGAAAGGGCUCACGGCUGCUUUCCGGGGCAGCAGAAGCACUUGUGACAAAGUGGCUCUUCUCUCGAUUACUGGCAGGCCUCGGCGGAGUUCCUGAACACUGCGGGUUUCCCUAGGGACCUGGGUCCAGGAAAUGAUCUCUGAGAUGCCAAAGGGGCGAGUGUAGUCUCUCUCCGCCCACCCCGGUCGGACUGGUCUUGGUCAGUGGAACCUGACGUGCCCUCUCCUGCUUCUCCAAGUCUUACUUUCUCUGUGAAGUCUGAUGACCUCAGGCAGCAGAAAAUCUCCCCCAUCUGAGCUCUUGGGCCUGUCCUGCGUUAGUGAUUCGCCCGGUCAGUUGCUAUGCCUGUUGCGUGGGUCUGCCUCGACGGCAGAUAUGUUGAGAGCGGAGAUUGUCAUCAACUGCCCCAGCAUUGCCCAUAAUACCCUGUUCCUUGCCCAACCCAGCAUCAGAGCAAAGAAUGCUUCCCGUAAUGUAUGCAGAUUAUCGUUCUCCCAAGAGGGUUCCACCCAGGCCAGGAUUUCCAUGUCCCGUGGCCAGCCCAGCAACUAGCCAAGUAGCUCAAAUCUGCUCACCUGCCAGCCCUGCCCCAGGGCAGGGCUGGGUCUGAGGAUGAAGGGGCGUGUCCCUGGGCUGGGGCAUCCCAGUCACCCUGAUUAUGACACUCUGAUUCCUAAUCUUCAUCUCCUGCUUGCUCUAGAAUCUCAGUCCUGACCUGGAGAGCAUUGUCUGCUUCCCUGGUGUGGCUCUGGAUUUCAGUGACCGUUUUCUGGAGAGAACCAACCUUUUGCUUCUCUCUGUAUCUUCCCCCAUCUCUGCACCCCUUCCCUUCCCUCACUUACAAAUCUCUUCCUUUCCUAGCUCGUAAUAUGGAUCGUAUUGAUUUCUCUUUUUCUUUUUCUUUGUUAAUUUCAUUUACUUAUUUUGAGAGGGAGUGAGAAAGCCCAAGCUGGGGAGGGGCAGAGAGAGGGAGAGAGAGAUUCCCGAGCAGGUUCCACACCGUCAGCGCAGAGCCCCACACGGGGCUUGAUCUCACAAACCGUGAGAUCAUGAACUGAGCUGAAAUCAAGAGUUAGAGGCUUCACGAACUGAGCCACCUGUACUUGGCCCGCAUCAAUUAGGGAGAAGGUAGGUGAGGAGAAUCUGGACUGAAGUUUACAUAGAAUGAUACGAACAGAUGAAAGGUAGCGUCUAGUUGUGCUCCGGGGAGACGUGUUCCUGUGGAGGUCUUCUUACAGAAUGUAGAAUAUUUUAGGGAGACUCAGACCUUGUGGGUCUUCUCGGGAAUAAAUUUACCCGAGAGCCCUCGGGUUAACACAGAACCCAACAAAGAAUAUUAUUGCCAUCCGUUUGCUCUUUGUGGACAAUCCGACACUCUGUGCCAGCUCUAAGAAAAAGCUCUAUAAACUAUUAAAAUGACAAAGAACUUCAGUCCUGCUAAAGAAAUAGAGUUUGGCUUAGCUAAAUGGAGCACCAGACAAAUGCGAAGGACGGCUUGGGGUGAUGAAUGGAUUCACGGCAAUAAAGAUGAACUUACAGAAGAUUAAUAGAAGGAGAGAUGGAUAAUAUCGGGGCUUCCAGCUGUUGAUGAAUGCUAAACUUAUUGACAUUGAAGAUAAGCCUAGAUAAAAGGCAUUCGGUCCAAAUGGAGAGAGAAUGCUUCAAAAGAAGCCUAAUGCUCGCAACUAAAUUAAGGCAGUAAAUAUAUCUGUGGUUCCAGCCCAUUUGUUAUGAUAGAGACUACAGAUCAUUAUAAUGAGAGGCAGAUUAUUAACCACAAAGGGCCCCGUGCAUCACAGGGAAUUUGAGCCACUCGCUCCCCCACGUCCCAGAAAAUCCACUUGGUCGAGAAGGAAGCCUUCUUCAUACACUAGUUGGAAACUAAGACGAUUGAGAACGUCACGUGGGGGUGGUUUUAAACCCUCAAGAGGUGCGGUCUGUGUCCCCUCCCACCCAGUCUGGAUGGGCUUGCUUCAGCUUCGCCAACAGGGCAAGGCGGAGGAGUCCAUAUAGGUGAUCUUCUGGGGGCAGAUCAUCAAAGGCAUGCAGUUUCCUUCCGGCUCCGUUGGAAGGCUUGCCCUCCGGUGCUCCCUCUUGGGGUAGGCCUACCCAGAGCUUCCAGAUGAUGCCGGCGCAUAUCCAAGAGCAAACAAAAAUACGCCAGGUGACUUAGGAGGUUUUGCCUGCAAAGGGUUUACGGUCUCAGCAGAGAUCAGCGGGAUAUAAGCUGGGCCAGAAGGUUGGGGUCUCACUGAAUUCUGGGCUGUACUCUGCCCUUCCCGGCUACUUGGGAAAGUGGUGGUCUCUGUGCCCGGUGUCCCUCCCCCCGUAGAGUCAAACAGUUGUGAAGAGUGAACACACAUGAGGCAUUUAGAACAUGGUGACUAUCCCAUAGAUGGCAGCCGUUGUUAAGGUUAUCGUGUCCAGGACACUGUGACGCAAAGCAGAGAAAGGGCUCCCGGACCUGCUCACAUCAUCAGGUGAUUUCUUUUUCAAGAAAAGCAGAUGUGUAUAAUGGAUUUGAUUAAUAGGCUCUAUAGUUUUAUAACCAAUUCACAGCCGCUUCCUUUAAAUCAGGGCUUUACCAUCUUUUUUGGACUAUGACCCACGCUAAGAAAUACAUUUCCCGUUGUGACCUGAUACACACAAGAAUCCCUCCCCUCCCAUCAAAGCAUAUAAACAUCUUCAUUGGGCAACACACUCUGGUAUUUUCGAUUCUGUCCUCUUUCAUUUUUCAAAAUCCACUAAGUCGAUCCCCUAGUCCAUUAAAUGGGUCAAAAUCUACAACUUGAAAAGCGGUGCCUUCCGUAAACGACUUUUAUAUGGCUUCCUUGCCCUAACCUUUUCACUGUUUUUCGCUUUGUCGCCCAGCUCUUCUCCACUUUCUGGAAGUCUCGCUUGUCCAGGACGACCGGUCUACUGCCUCCCCGUCCUGAUGGGCGGCCACGAUGAAGCCGGACCCACCGGUCCCAGUACAGAAUGUGGCACGUGUCAGACAAGGAUUUUUGAACUGAGUUUAGAACAGGGAUUCUAACUCUGUUUUUCUGCUCAGGUUUUAAGUGGGCUAAGCACUUAGUUCUCAGAUGAUUUCUAGGUUGCUGGUAACGCACUGUAAGUGUCAGGGAGAAGAGACUUGGCUGGCAGCCCUUUCUCAGAUGUUCCAAGCAAACAUGCAAACGGUUCUCAAACCUUAGCCUGGUCUCAAUGCCCGUCUUCCCUGAAAGCUGUUUUUGCUUUAUAACCACAGGACGUUUCAAAUCAAAUUCCAGAAAAUGCCUCGCAAUUAAAAUUUUACACUGCCUGUCGCUACGUGCCAGCUUUGCUACUGCUUUUCGUCACUGCCCAUUAUAAAUAAUGACCCUGGCAUGCGUUUUGUUACUAGAGCCAUUAACCCAACUAACCGUUCCGCUCACAUGAAACAAGCCGUGCAUCUGCUAAGGUGACUUGGUGGGUAGAUUUCUUUUUCCUUUUGUUUUUUGUUCUUUGUUGUUUUUUUUUUUUUUUUUUUUUUCCUUCUGCAGAACCCGAUGACACACAAUAAAAUGAGCAAAUGGAAAUUUCAGGGAAAUGUACAUCAGAGCUACCGAUCCUUCAUGGGGUAUCUACGUAUGGCUUAUAGCACGAAACGUUUUUGUCCACUCUUGGGGCUGCCGUGUUGACAAAAUGAGAUUGCUUUUGCAUGGGCGUGUCCCACCUUAAUCUCCUUUUAUCUGCAGAUAAAAGGAAUUACCUUCUCUUCCCGGGGAGCCCAUGAAGGAGUAGAGAGCAGGUGGGGUUUGGUUUCACACAGACUAGGGUGUUGGCUUACAGCUCUGACAUUCAUUAACUGAGCAAUUAGAAGCUUCAGAUCUUUGCGCCUCAUUUCCCUUGUCUGUAAAACGGGAAUAAUAAUGCAGAUAAUAAUAUACCUCUCAGCGCCGUGAGAAAAGCUCACCACAGGCUGGCCAGUGGCCAUGGCAUGGCCUGACUAAAAAAGUCACUAGAUAGUGAUGAAUAGCCCCAAUCAAGUAAUUUAAAAAAUAACUUUAUUUGAAGAAAUGAGUACCCCAAAAGUCCAGACAGUGGGUGUGGCAGACAGAAUAACAGUCCCCAGAGAUAUUCAUAUCCUAAUCCCUUGAAUUUGUGAAUAUAUUAUAUUUACAGACGUGGGUAAGUUAAGGGUCUGGGGACGGAGCGAUCGCCCUGGGUUAUCCAGGUGGACACUAUGUCACCACAAGAGUCCUUUUAAUCCGGGGGUCAGAAUCAGGGAAGGGGAUGUGAGGACAGAAGCAGAAGUUGGAGUGAUGUAGAGCCACGGGCGCAGGGCUGCAAGCAGCGUCUAGGAGCUGGAAAUCCAUCGUCUCCUAGAGCCUCCAGAAGGAAUGCAGCCCUGUCAACAGCUUGAUUUUAGCCUGUGAGAUGCAUUUUUAGACCUUUGAUGGUCAGAACUAUACAAUAAUAAAUUGGUGUUGUUUUAAGCCACUAAAGUCAUGGUACCUUGUUACAGCAAAAACUAAUCUGUCAAUGGAGGAAGGCGACUGUCAUGGGCAAGAAGUAUACAAGGUCAGGUGGGCUUCUGGGGGGAAUGGCUUCCUCCCGAGUUCUUGAUUUGGGUUGGGGGAACCCAGACAAAUGGGUAUUCAAUUUAUAACUCCGUGUUCAAUGUUAGAUAAAUGCUAUGCAUCUUUUUCUUCA